rnacentral:tRNA from 1 species
GGUCUGUUCGUCUAGCGAUCUAGGACAUCGCCCUUUCACGGCGGCAACAGGAGUCCGAAUCUCCUACAGAUCA